UUCUACAUGGUCAGCAGAUGCUUUUCAGUCCCUUCAGACCGAAUGAGCAAAUCGUUGUGUUUGCACGAGUCUAACUAAUAGAAACAUCACGCUAAUAUUCACCUCAGCUCGACAGCGACCCGCCGUUUCAGCCUCAAUGAGGCCAUUUCACAUUCAGACACUCAGCAUAAUGAAAGGCAAUAUCUAGGAAAUCCAAUUUUAUAUCAAUUGCAGCCUUUAGAUGCAGAAUAAUAAGUAAAAAUCUAAAGGGAAAUUACGAGGCGAGGCUAUUAUAAUGCAGACAACCUCCUAGAAAGACAACUGUUUGUGUUUUUAAAGCAGUGAUAUUUCUCAAUCAGGUUUGAUUUGGUUCGUUGUUCAUGAGUUUUCUAGCAGCUUUUCUAUCAGAAUCUACUUGUAAAGCCUCGCAAGGCCACGUCAACACAAUUUCCUAAACGCAUUCAGAAUGAAAAACAUGCAUAUGAGCAUUCAAGCCGGACAAACCAAUUCAUGAAGUUCUUAAGCUCGUCCUUAAAUCCAGACUGCAGUAAAUCCCAUAUUGCAGCUCAACUGCAAACGUCGGCCUGUGUUUUCUGCUUCGUUCCGCUGCAUUUCCAUCCGCUCAUUCAUGUCUCAUCCAGGCAGUCAAAGGAUCCAUUGAUGGCUCCAUCGCUCCUCUGUGGGCUCCUGCUGCGGGUCGAGUCCCGGCGGGUGUGAAGCUUCAUCCCACAUCUGACCGCUGGACGAAGGAUCAGUCAUUCCUCAGGUGACAGAUCGACGAGUGUUACAGAGGACAGCGGGUCAGAGGUCAUCUGCUCAUGUGAUUUGAAUGACAGGAGUGCUGUGUAUAGAUAAAAGGCUGUACUUAGAGCAGCGCUGUUUAGUGACUGGGAGAAUCAGGCUGUUUAAGGCCAUGUCUGAUGCUAAAACAUGUAGAAAGGAGUGUGGAAAAGAAGUGGCCAUCUAGAUGACAGGCGACUGGUCAGGAACAGCCUAAAGAACAAAGAAAGUCAUACAAGUUCGUAACGACAUGAAGGAAUGAAACUGAAGUCUGCUGAGUUAUGAAAGAGCAACUUCUGAAGAACCAAAUAUUCCUCUGGAAAACCUCUGAAGCUUCAGACAUGUUUUCCAGGUGGAUAUUCCUGGUGUAAGUUCAAACGUCUGCUUACAUGAGGCUGUCAGCUUUCUGAUGUCUCUCUGUGUGUGUCGCUCGUGUAUUAUCCUGAAACAAAGUGAAUCGAUAUUUCAUCAGUUUUUCUGCUGCUUUGAGGUUAACAGAAACCUCUUGGACUUGAACCCUCAGGAAAGCGCUGACAACCGGACGUUUAAUCUGGUUCUGUCUGCUGUGUCCAAAUGAACUAGAAAUAUGUAGAACAGCAUCAGAAUCGCAUACUACUAUACUACUCUUACUAAUAAGUAUGCACACUCAAGAAGGCAGAGAUGCAGGACUGUGCUAAUGAAGGUUUGUUCCUGCGUGUGAAGGUUUGGUUCAGGAGUCUCCCGUCGGUUCACGUUCUUCAGCCAGCGAGUUAAUUACCAUCACUGGAAAGACAGCCAGACAACUGUCAACACAUGACUCUGCAGCGUGGAAUUAUGGGAGUGUUGAGCUCUGUUCCAAAACACAAUGAGCUGUCUACCUAGACGACGAUUUUACGC
ensembl:lncRNA